ACCAUUGAAUUCAUUUCAACUCAGUAUUCUCCUUCUCUCGUUUUACAUACGAUUUCCGGCGAGUCCUCCGCCGUCCUCGCCGUCUCUAAUCUCCCUCGAUCAACUAAACCUGAACAUAAACCUAACCUAAAAUUACGCCCCGAGAUCGAUUACGUCCAUAGAUUGCACAGAAAAUCCUUCAUUUGGCCGGAUCGAUGAAUUCCCUUCCGAAACCCUAGGUUCUAGAAAUUCAAAUUAAAUGGAGACGGCGAACGAGAAGACAUCAAGACCUUGGGGAAAAUAAUUGUGGAGGCUUACUCUACGCAAUGGUGCUAAGAAUCAAGCAGGUAAUACGCGAGAGUGAUCGAUCAGAAAACUUACCGGGGAUGACGAUUCUUGAAGACGCUUAAAUGGAGAAGAAAAUACCAGAGGCAACUCCGAACAGGGUUAUGUUUUAGACAACUGAACCGGAAUUGCGAAGUUAUGAUGUGCUGAGGCAGAACUAAUAUGAAUGUCGACUACUUUGAACCGUGAGUAUGCUAGAACUGAUUCUUAUGUUUUCAUUUUCUGAACUGGUGUAUGUUGGAACUAUGUAGGUAGGGUAUGAUGGAGGCGGCAAGUUCGGGUGGCAGUUUGGCAUGUACGAAAACGGUGAAGCUUGGAUCAGUGUUCAAAUUAGCUUCGAAAGUGAGCUGCGAUCCCGUUACGAACUGUAAGUAGUUAAAUUUGCUGGUGUUUAUGAUGAUAAGUAUAAGUGCUAAACUGUAUGUGUAUUUGUACUGAUAUGGAAUUGUAUGAAUGGUAAGAACAUGGUUUGAAUUUCUAUUUGAUGCAGAGGGUUAUUUGAACUGUGUGGAUUUUGGUUUUGGUUUAUGUACAAAAUGCUUGAAGUUUAACCAAUUUGUCUACUGGUUUAUGCAGGAUGUGAAGUGAACUGAGCAGCUUGGCAUACCUUUGGAAAUAACAUGGAGUAAAUGGAAGUAGCUUAUGGAGGGUUUUUAGAAAUAAGCUUAGGAGACUUGUGUAAUUUUCAAUAUGCUGAAUUUCUUUUGUACCCUUUGACUCAUUGUAAUGGAUUGUAACUUUGACUUGAAAUGUAAUGAAUUUGAGUUGGAAUUCU